rnacentral:lncRNA from 1 species
AUCAUUGCACUGUGACAUGAAUUGAGCUUUAUCUUGCUUUUGGGCUUGCCAUGUCUUUGGGUUGCAUUUUGCUCCUUCUUUGGAUUUUCUCUUCCUUUUGAUUGGUGUUGGAGUUUUUCAUUUUCCCCCUUCUUUUCCUAGUUUUUGUUUGCUAGCUGUCUUUGGUUGAGGGGGUGUUCAACUUCAUUCGAGGGGAAGAUUGGACCAAGGACUUGCUUUGGUUUUUGAUAUCCGGUUUUGAUCUUUUAAUUGGUAUCACAUUUGAUCUUUCAAUUGGAUUUUAUUUUCUUCAAGUGAUAUCAAUUUUUGAUCCUUCAAUUGGUAUCUUUUCUAUGGUACUCAAUUAGGAUCCUUGGCGGUUCUUCUUUUGCCACGGAUUUUUUUGGAUUGGUUUAACCCCUCAUGAGCUUUCUUGAUUUGAGUCGAACCCCGUCUCUUUUUGCAUCGCAUUGCAUUUAUAUCAUUUUGCACCUUGUACACGUUGCACUAGAUGAGCUUCCCAUAUAU